AAUAGAUGAUGUCGUUGACUUUUUCUCACAUGUUUGACCAUUCGUCUUAUUUAAAAAAUUUACGUAAUUAUAAUCUAUUUUGUUAUGAGUUGUUUUAUCACUCAUAGUACUUUAAGUGUGAUUUAUAUCUUAUACAUUUGCAUAAAAUUUUUAAAUAAGACGAAUGGUCAAACAUGUGAGAAAAAAUCAACGGCGUCAUCUAUU
rnacentral:pre_miRNA from 1 species